UACGUAGGGGGCGAGCGUUGUCCGGAUUCAUUGGGCGUAAAGAGCUCGUAGGCGGUUCGCUAAGUCAGGUGUGAAAUCUCCACGCUCAACGUGGAGGGGCCACCUGAUACUGGCGUGACUCGAGUCCGGUAGGGGAGUGUGGAAUUCCCGGUGUAGCGGUGAAAUGCGCAGAUAUCGGGAGGAACACCAGUGGCGAAGGCGAGUCCCUGGACAGGUCCUGACGCUGAGGCACGAAAGCUAGGGGAGCAAACAGGAGU
rnacentral:rRNA from 1 species